UCAUAGGGUAAAGCAGCAUUUGACUGGAAUACCCGGGGAUACUGAAAUUUGCAAGGAUGUGCCUCCAGAAGUUCGUUUUUUGGUGAAACAAAAUUAUGAUGAAAAUAGCAAGAAAAGAAAAGCCUCAGAAGCGGGUGAAGUUUCAGCCACCGCAGAGGGGGUGGAUUACAACAAGUAGAAGCAAACUCAACACCGACAACUUCUAAAAAAGGAAAGAAUGUUGGUCGAAUUGGUACUUAUUUUUUACCUAGAACAACACCGGGAGCUCAACCUACUUUAAAAAGUGUGAUACAAAGUAAAGAAGUGGUAGAAAGGUGUGAUCUUGCUAUUGCGAAGUGGUUUAUUGAUGCAUCUCUUCCUUUCAACGCUGCAAAUUCCCCUUAUUUUCAACCUGCAGUUGAUGCUCUUUGUUGCAUGGGUCCUGGAUAUAAAGUACCUACUAUGCAUGCCCUUCGUGGUAACUUGUUAAAUAAGUGGGUUGUUGAUGUGAAGAAACAAAUAGAGGAAUAUCGUACUUAUUGGAAAGAUACGGGCUGUACUCUUAUGGCAGAUGGUUGGACCGAUCGAUGCAGGAGAACUCUUAUCAACUUUUUAGUUUAUUGCCCUAAAGGAAUAGUUUUCAUCAAGUCUGUUGAUGCUUCUCAACAUUCUAAGACUGCAGACAUGUUGUUUAAGCUUUUCAAGGAAGUAGUGUUAUAUGUUGGCCCUGAAAAUGUUGUUCAAUUCGUCACGGAUAAUGCUGCGAAUUACGUUGCUGCUGGAAAGUUGUUGGAAAAUGAGUUUCCGAGAUUGUAUUGGUCUCCUUGUGCAGCACACUGUAUCAAUUUAAUGUUGCAAGACAUGGGUAAAUUAGAGGAAGUAAAGGAGGCGGUGUCACAUGCUUCAAAAAUUACCAAAUUCAUAUAUAAUCAUUGUUUUGCAUUGUAUUUGAUGAGGCAAUGCACAAGAGGAAGAAAAUACUUCGUCCUGCUCCAACUCGCUUUGCUACUAAUUUCAUUGCUUUGCAAAGUAUUUUGAAUCAUAAAGAUGCUUUGAGAACCAUGGUAACAUCCAAAGAAUGGACAAGCACACAUUAUUCCAAAGAUGCCAAGGCAAAACAAUUUGUGGAACAAGUCUUAGACUCAAAAUUCUGGUCUGAAUGUGCUGACAUAGUGAAAAUCACAGAACCACUUGUACGUGUGUUACGUAUUGUUGAUAGUGAAGAUAAGCCUGCUAUGGGAUAUCUCUACCGAGCUAUGUAUAAACCAAGAGAGGAGAUUGAGAAGAGGUUUAAAGAAAUAAGAUGAAGGUGGAGCCUUAUUUGAAGAUUUUGGAUAACCGUUGGGAUGCACAACUUCGCAAAAAUCUUCAUGCUGCUGGUUAUUGGUUAAAUCCUUCAUGUAGAUUCAGUCCAGAAUAUGAAAACCACGAGAACACCACAUCUGCCACGUUGGAUGUCAUUGAAAAGUAUGCUUAUGAUAGUAGAGAACUUCGUGCAAAAUUAACAGCUGAGAUGAGAUCGUUCGGAAAUUGUCGAGGUAGUUUUGGAAGGAAAACAGCAGUAGAAGAUCGAACUAAAGUGUUACCAGAUCAAUGGUGGGAAAUGUAUGGGACUGAAGCACCCCAUUUGAAAAAAUUGGCUAUUCGGAUUUUGAGUCAAACUUGUAGUGCCUCCGGUUGCGAAAGAAAUUAGAGUGUGUUUGAGCACAUUCAUUCAAAGAAAAAGGAAUAGGUUGGAGCAUCAAAAACUUAAUGAUCUCGUCUUUGUUCGUUACAACUUAAGGCUACAAAAUAGAAAUCAGAAGAAACAAAAUUAUGACCCUAUCAAUUUUGAAACACUCGGUGACCAUUCUGAUUGGGUGUUGGAGGAUUCACCACCAUUUUUAACUAUUGAGGAAGUGGAAGCACUACACACCGAGCUUGCUAGUAUGACAAUUGAACCUGUUUCGAAUGAUAUUGAUUUGAAUUUGGAUGAAGUUGAAGAUGAUACA